rnacentral:piRNA from 1 species
UUUCCUUAUGUAAGUUAUUUA